rnacentral:lncRNA from 1 species
UCAUUUCAACUUCGUUUGAUAUUUCUUUAAAAUGCAAAACCUAAACUGUGCAUUAUUACCGAGAAUUUCAGAAAACAGGGGAAAGAGUCAUUCAUUUCAGUAGCUUCCUAUGUGAUCUAGCUUUCCAAAUUUUUAUGGUAUCAACCUUAUUGUGUUAGCUAGAUAUACACCAAAGUUGAGCCCAGUUUGACAACGUUUACUAUUUUUCAAAAAUUGUAACUUUCGGUUACACAAAAC